UUGAGAGAAAAACGUAUUUUUCUUUGAAUUAUGAUAUUAUCACCGUGCAAAAUUCACUGUUCAAUUAUAACUUUAUUUUGGACUUUACUUUUAAAAUUCAACAUCUGUUCGUGAUAUUUUCUCACAGUUUAUUUCUUACAAAGUUACUUAUUCAUUUAUUGAUUGACACUUUUCGGACUCUAUAUGUGAUUUCAAAGAGACAGCGUGCCAUGUCUCAAGGACUGUUAAUCUCUUAAAACAACAUUGUGCAAUUAUCAGUUUUUCAUUUCUUGGACAUCAAAGACUCAUUGAGUUUAUUUAAUUAUUUUAUAUCUGGUGGAAUCAUCUUGGCGGUCAGGGAUAACAUUGUUAAGUAUAUAAAAAUAAUUAACACAGACUGUAAAUAUGUGUUUUGGUUUAAAUUAGACAAAAUGUUACUGAACUCCACUGACGACUUAUUAUGCGGCGUUGUUUAUAUACCGCCUGAAGGUAGUAGAUACGCAUCACCCGAUUGUUUUAUAGAAAUAGAACAAGAGUUAAAUAAUAUUACAAAUAAAUCUAAAUGUGUUUGUCUUAUGGGCGACUUUAAUGCCAGAGUUGGUCAUUUGAAUGAUUUCUUUAUUUCUGAUGAUUUUCUAGCGCAUCUAAAUGGAUGUACAGAUAUUUUUUAACCUGAUAUUGUUGAACCGGCAUUGGUCUUUGAAAGCUAUAAUAUACCGCUUAAGAGAAUUGUUCAAGAUAACAUUGUGAAUAAUUAUGGAUAUAAGUUAAUUGAAUUUUGUAAAAAAUGAUAAAAUCUACAAUGUUGUUAAUAGCCGAUUUGGCAGUGAUAAAAAUAUAGGCGGGACAACUUGUAAAAACAGUAGUACUGUGGACUAUGUUCUAGCUACUACGAAUGUAUUUAGAAUUUUACAGAACUUUGAUGUCAUUGAUUUUUGCGAUUUUUAUUCAGAUGUACACAACCCUAUAUCGUUUUCUUUUUCAUAUUGUAGUAAGGAACCAACCCACAGUUGUAUAGGUGAAAAUCACUCAAGUGUAAAAUCAUGGUGUCCAGUCUGGAAUGCGGCGGACAGCCUCGGCCACGUCCGACUCACCCAGAGUCUUGAGUCCGGAGACCACUACUGGCCAUAUCCGACUUGUAUAACAUGUCUGUCUGUUAAAUUGUUAUAAUGUUGCCAUCGUUGAGUCUCGUCCAAUAAAUGUGGAAUCCUGCAUCAAUUGUCUGUUUAUUUCUCUGGAACUGUAUUCUGGUGGACCUUCGGGAAUACGGCAAACUUACCCUUCGUUUAUACCUUACGGCAUACAACGCGCCACAACCUUAUACCAUUUACGCCAACAUUCCCUCACCCGGUUCGUACUGCACACGACCGAUGCAGAUCCAGACGAAUUCUCUAGCACCGUAAAAUCUACGCGGUCACAAUUCUCAUGCGCUGGACAGGGGACGCUAUCUUUUUUUUUUUGUCCGAUCAUUUCUUUUCCGGACAUUCAACAAUAAAGAUAUAACUUUUACGGAAGUCUCCUGUCCUAUUUUACAGCUCACCAAGCUCGGUCAUAAUGUCACAAAAUUGCAUAUGUUUCUUUGGUUGAAUGGAAUUUUAAUCAAGAUUCAUCGGACAAGAGAGCAGGCAUACCUUGGUGAAAAACAAAUAACAAGCGACAGAUUCUUUAAAUAGUGAGAAGAUUUGAGAAUGUUUGAUCCAAACAUUGGCUGUUAUGAGAAAUUUUACUCAUGACUUGAUGUUGCCAUUGAUAAAAAAAAAAAGGACGACAUUUGGAGCACUCUCUUUAAAGUAUUUAAAAACAAUGCUCAAUUUGUCUAAAUCUUAUGAAUGUGAAAUUUGUUGAGUGAAAAUUUUCAUCAUAUUCAUUUAUAAGAAAGCAUUUGAUUUUUUUGUGAAUAAAUUUAAUCAAAAGAUAUUAAAAGAUAAAAGGUAUUAGAUAUUCUGGGACACCCUGUUUAUUUUUUUAUUCCCCAUUAGUCCUAUUAUUGGCAGUGUUCCCGCCUAAUACGCCUAUAACGUCAUCACGCUCCAUGAUAGACAAAAUAGAGAUCUAUUGGGCGUUUUUUCUUUUUUAAGUUAGACCCCCCCCCCCCCCCCAACACACAAUAUACGGUAAUCUCUGGUAAUCUAGCAUGGUAUUUUUUCCUCAUCAAAAUGUUAAAUCCAUCUCAAGCCAGUUAAGACGCAUAGGGCUAGUGCUUAUCCCCAGUUUCUGUGGUGCUUAAGGUGGCAGAAACAGCUUUUUUUCCUUCUUCUUUUUUAUAUACACAUUUCACUGUAGCCAGGGGAUGAGUGUCUUUUGAACUCUGUAACUAGAAUUUCCUCUGUUCCCAUUCAGUACAAAUACCUUCAAGCCAAUCACCAAUUUCUGAGGAAAAUUACCAGUCAGAAUGUGUAAAAUUAUAAAAUUUUGUACAUAGCGGCUUUUAUAAAAUGUUGAUCUUUUCAUAUUUUCCCCAUUUUUCAUGAUUUUCAAGCUUUUUAGACCACCCUAGUUAAUUCACUGCAAAGGGUUGACCUUCCGUACCGUGUGCAUGAUGUAACAUCACAUGUCAGAAACUUACUGGUGUAUAGUUUACUAUGUCCCAUCCACCUACUUUUCGUGUUAUUUUACCUCCCUUCUGUAACUUGCAAUUAAAUAUUAUUAUAGGAUCUCUCAUGAUUUCCGAUGGUGUAUAUACCAUCGCAAAUCAUGAGAUUCUUUUUAUCACAUGUUCUACCAAGUACUUUGUUAAUCCCAACUUUUUCUGUAAAAAUUGUAAUUAUGUUAUAAUGAACGCACAACACAUUACCUACAAGACGUCAACAACUUUACGCAUGUAGGCAUUAAAUAAAAAAAAAAUAAAAAAAUAAAAAGAUAUGAGGCUUGUGACUUCACAGUAAUAGAUAUGAGACCCGUUAACUCAUUGACACUCUAUAUACCGGUAGUACCAUGCAGAUAGGAAGCCUCAUCGUCGGUGACCCACGUGUGAUUCACAUCGAUUCUCUCCAUCAUCGUCGGUGACCCACGUGUGAUUCACAUCGAUUCUCUCCAUCAUCACAAACUUGUGGACUCAAAACCGUGGUUUGCGACGAUGAGGAAGCUCAGCAACACUCUACCAUAAAACACGGUUAUAGCGAACACGCUUAAAAUGGAUUAAUGAUUUAUUACAGCGAAGGGGUUUUCAUUCCCCAUCAUUUCUCUUAUAUAGUACCAUAUUCACCAUGUUAAUUAUGAUUUAUUCAUUUUAGAAUAGAAGGCAUUUUUCUUUUAUAGAAGAAUACUGGUUUUCCUUUCUAUUAUUCCAUGUUCUUAUAAAUUUAAAGAUCUGAGAAAAUACAUUCUGGAGAAGCUGUUGAAAGAUUAUUCAAUGUAAGUAUAUAUGUAUGAGCUAUGAAAUACAUGUAUUAGCUAUUGGUAAAUUGCCUUAAGUUACUUCUGGUUUUUAUGCCAUUAAAUGUCAAGGGCUCAUGAAAAAGGUUGUCAGUCAGGCUUGACAUUUCUAUUAAUAUUCGUUCUACAAAUUGAGUACAAUUUAUCUAGAUCUAAAAAGUUACACCUUUUCUUUAUAAUCAUUUGCUCAAUUGUUUUAUUAAUUAUACAUACAUGUAUUGUUUUAAUUCAUUAUUAGGGCCCUCUCUGCGGGCGCCCUAUAGUGAUCAGUCUGUCUGUCCAUCCGUCUGUCCGUUAGUCUGUCUGUCUAAGAUAUCUUGUCGGGAGCAUAUCUUCUCUCCCCUUCGCUCAAUCUGGCUCAUACUUCACCUACAGCUAGAGUGCCUUUGGUCAAAGGAUGUGCAGUGACUGUGAAUAAAGUUUGUAGGUCAUGGAUCAAGGUCAUAUCGAGCUAAACAAAAAACAAUUUUCUUCAGAACGUAUACUGUAAUCAAAGUACUGAAAGUACUGAAAAACGGGGUCUUGAAAGUUUGAAUUUGUAAUUGUCCUUGAUUUUCUCGAAUAUGCUUCCAAAAAUUAUGAGUUUGAAUUAUUUGUUUCAAUCUAGUAUGUAAAAUUGGCUUUUUUGCAAUUGUCUGAUACUUUGUCUAAAUUUUACUCAAUCCCAGCCUUCAUAAUUGUAGAAAAUUGACACAACGGUAUGUAAAAUAAGACCCCAAGGAAAUUUUUUAAAACUACCACUAACCGGGGAAAUCAAAACAACCAUAUCAAGGUAGAUAAUUUAAAUCAUUAGAUUUAUUCAAUUUUGUGACCCAAGAGAAAAUUCACAAGUCGGACGGUAUCCGUUAUACAAGGUUUAUGAAAACCCCGAAAACUCUCAAACUGCUGAAUUAAUAAACAAAGUUAAUAUUUGUAUACCGGUAACAAACACAGGCACCAGACGUUAGAAAUAUUUCUUUUUACAAUAAGAUUCCAAGUACUCUAACAAUAAAAAGGUUUGUCACGGUCGUCAUUUUGAUUUUUUUAGACCGACUAAUCUGACACAAUUUUCUUGCAGCGAUUCAUGCAAAAUUUAUAGGUAAAAAUAAAUCCGUUCGCCAAUUACUACUUUUUUGUGCAAACUCGUGCAUCACCUACACGAAUUACGAUCAUUAAAAAUCAUACUCCGAAAAUCAGAGACAUAAAUAACAGAGAUUGGCAACUCCGCAAUAAGCGUGUAAAUGUUACGGGACCAACCUUACUUUGAGAACUACAAGUGCAACAGCAAUCAUGUAUAAGUCAUUAGAUUUGAACCUGAUAGUGAACAUGAACCUGUAAAAGUGUUUAAGCAUGUUUUAUCUAUAAAACAUCUACAAAAAGUUUAACUCUUUAUUUAGCUUUUAAAUUACUUUUUUUUUUAAUUUAUUGACUUUUCACAAAGUAAUGGUAAUGGUAAUCCAUUACUUUACUCAUGUGAUGGUAAUAUAAUGCAUUACUUCAAGAAAAUUAAGUAACGGUAAUAGUAAUUUAAUAUGCCCUAAUUCAUGAAGAAAUGAUAAUGUAAUGCAUUACUUUGCAAUGUAAUUCACCCCAAGCCGGACAACAUGAACAUUAACAUUUAACUUGGUUCUUUAAUCGAUAAGAUUGUAUAUAUUAUUUGAUCUAUUGGUCACCCAAACUGUAUAAUCUAUAUAGAUUUAGCUUACAAUGCAUUGUUCAAAAUUUUAAUUCAGUUUAAUUAAUUAAAGAGUCAAUGAACGAGAAGGCAAAGACGAACAGCAGGCAUACCGCAAGUAGACUGGAAGCCAAUGAAACACCUAUUUAAUAUGUAAGACAUCUGUGUAUAAUCCGUCCUAAUUUUAACUUCGGCUUGCGCAUGAAGUUCGGUAGUAUUCAGGUGAAAGAUUGUCAAAAUGAAAUUAACAACUUUUCAAAAAUGGUACAUAGCGUUUGGAAACAUUACAUUCGAUUCAACCUUCAACCUCUUCUAUUGAUUAAUGAGCUCGAACACCAACUGAAACGUCAACGGCGUUGUGCAUUCAGUUACGUAACUCAUUCCACAUUUGAACCCGAGCAAGAAUAUUUUGAUUUAUAAAACUAUUUGUUUAUUUUCGAAAUAGAAUUUAGUUUAUACACAGAGGACUUAAAAAGAUUUAAUGCGUGUUUUUAUAAUAUAUAUUUACUGAUAUGCAUGAAAACUUUAUGCACUAUUUUCUUACGCGUAGACUCAAUUCAUGUGUUCUACGCGUGCCUUCCGGUUUGAGACUUCGACUGACAGUAAAUCAAUAGAAGGGGUCACGUGACCCCGUCUCAAAACGAGAAAAUAUGGCAAACCCCAAUGGUUUUCCAUAUGUAUUCAUUUUUUUUCUAAUGCCUCAAAGUAAUUACUUCAGUCAACUUUUUACCACUGAAUAUUAGCCAUUCUGUAAUUUCGGACGGUUGAUUCUGUUUGUUUAUACAAUCGUUAAGGUUGAAUAACACAUCAUCACAAAAUGGCUGACCGCUGAUCGAAAGGACUUUUCGUUUUAUUUAAAGGGGCAUGGUCACGAUUUUGGUCAAAUUUUAUUUUUCUGUUUUUAUUAUUUGCAAUGCUUUAAGAAUACAUUUCUAAUGAUCAAAUGAAAUUUGGGUGCCAGUCGUUGAGUUUUAAGCAAGAUACAGGGCUCACAAUUCUUCGUCAUGUAAACAAGGCUCGUGCCCUGUUUUUGUUUACAUGUGUUCAAUAUACCAGUAAAAAAUCGUUUUAAAGCUGGUUUGUCUAUCUUAUUAUUCAUUCUAAGCAUAAAUAAACAGUUCCUAACGAUUAACACAUUUAUUUUAGGUCUUAAACUGGAAUUUUCACCUCAACAUUCGAAAUGUAAACAAACGCUUUGUUUACAUUGAGAAGAAUUGUAAGCUCUGUAACUCGCUUAUAGCUCAUCAAAUGACACUCACAUUUUGGUUGCCUAUUAAAAAUGCCUUACUGAAGCAUUGUAAACAUUAAAAUCGAAAAAAUAAUUUUUGACCAAAAUCGCGACCAUGCCCCUUUAAA